rnacentral:rRNA from 1 species
GACGAACGCUGGCGGCGUGCUUAACACAUGCAAGUCGAACGGAAAGGCCCUUUCGGGGGUACUCGAGUGGCGAACGGGUGAGUAACACGUGGGUGAUCUGCCCUGCACUUCGGGAUAAGCCUGGGAAACUGGGUCUAAUACCGGAUAUGAUCAUGCGCCUCAUGGUGUGUGGUGGAAAGCUUUUGCGGUGUGGGAUGGGC